GAACGCUGGCGGCGUGCCUAAUACAUGCAAGUCGAGCGACCAGACGAGGAGCUUGCUCCUCUGACGUUAGCGGCGGACGGGUGAGUAACACGUGGAUAACCUACUUAUAAGACUGGGAUAACUUCGGGAAACCGGAGCUAAUACCGGAUAAUAUAUUGAACCGCAUGGUUCAAUAGUGAAAGACGGUUUUGCUGUCACUUAUAGAUGGAUCCGCGCCGCAUUAGCUAGUUGGUAAGGUAACGGCUUACCAAGGCAACGAUGCGUAGCCGACCUGAGAGGGUGAUCGGCCACACUGGAACUGAGACACGGUCCAGACUCCUACGGGAGGCAGCAGUAGGGAAUCUUCCGCAAUGGGCGAAAGCCUGACGGAGCAACGCCGCGUGAGUGAUGAAGGUCUUCGGAUCGUAAAACUCUGUUAUUAGGGAAGAACAAAUGUGUAAGUAACUAUGCACGUCUUGACGGUACCUAAUCAGAAAGCCACGGCUAACUACGUG
rnacentral:rRNA from 1 species